GCCCAGACUACUCUCAAACUCAAGGUGAUCCUCCUGCCUCAGCCUCCCGAGUGCUGAGAAGGCAGGCGUGGGCCACCAUGCCCGGUGUGACACUAGGUUGCUGUCUCUGGCUCUGUGGCCAGUUUCCGUCUGCAUCCCUGACCUGGGCUGUGACUCACAACACCUGCUCUGUGGGCACCCUCUGGAGUCGUAGCCUCCCCCGAAGUUUCUGAGCCCAGUUGUGUCUCGAAUGAGCGCUCUAAGCACCAUUUACAGACAGUGCACAUGGCAACGACACAGCUGAUCGCCCACGGUCAGCACGGAGCCGAUGCCAGCACGGGGCUGUGGCCAGGACUGUUUCGGCAUCCUGCAGCCAGCGGGAUUCCCACCCUGCCCUCAGUGGGGCACAGCCCGGAGCUCAGUGGAGAGGAGGGCGCCCACCGCAGGGGAGGCACCUGCUGCUGGCUCUUUCCGCUGAACAGGCCACAGGUGAGCGCCCCAAGUUCCGUGUGCCCACGGGAAACCACGUGCUGUGGCCUGGCAGCCUUCUUUGGGAAGAGGCUUUGGCACAGGUACUGACCCUCAGCCCCUGGGGUCUGAUUCCGGAAGCUCUGGGCGAAACUCACCAUUUUUAGCCGAGAUCGGGGGUUUGUCCGGAACUGGCUGAGCUCACACGGAGAAUCCACUCCAGCUGGCUCAAGGGGCGCGAAGGAACUCGGGGGCUGACCGACUCAGGGCAGGUGGCAGCUGCUUCGGGCGGCUCUGCUCACGCCCGUGCUUUAGUCAAAUGAGUCACAUGCUCAGGGCGGCCUAGCAAACCGUUUGUGCUCGCCCUUCUGCCCAAGUGUCCUCACUGCGCAGCAGUAAGACAAGCACGGAAGCCACGGGUAUCAAAGUUCCCUAACCAGCCAGUGCCAGGUGGCUUCC
rnacentral:lncRNA from 1 species